GGAACAUUUAUGGACAGGACUAAGAGGGAUCCGAAGGUCCUGGUACACGCAGUUGGAGAAGUCUCCUGUAGAGAAGCCACCCUGAAGAGGAGGAGGAAACAAAGCAGCAGGUCUUAGGCACCAGGAGAAGAAACAGUUGCUCUGUAAACAGCAAGAGAACAAUGAGUCAAGUAAUUUAAGGGCCAGAGAUUUUAUCAAAGUGAUUCUGAACAUCCCAGCCAAGACUGAAGAAUUUCAUCAGUCACCUAUAUGUUCUUAAUUUUCAUUCAGAAGUUACAAAGAAAUAGCUCCCAGUUGUGUCUGGGUCAGAAGAGGAAAAUGAAAAUGUCCUUCACCACCAUCCCCACCAAGCUGCCACCCCGUGACCGACUUAGGAUAGUCCUACUCCAACCCUGCUCUACGACAGGAGGAAAGGUCCUCCCUCACACUCACCACACAUCAAGUUAUAGACUUCAAUGUUUUCGAAGGUGUCAACCUCAACGCCAUGCUUGAAUCCGGGUCCAUAGCCGAUAAACAGAGCCUGGGUUGGCCAGAAAAGUACUUCGUCAGUGCAGUUCAGUUACGUGUAGAGUUGGUGCACAACUUUACACUACAUGCAUUGUGAGUGUGUUAAGAUGGGGGAAACACCAUGCUUUGGUGGGCCUUGUGGGAUAUUGUCUUAACCUCCAUCGCUUGUAUGAUCUAGAUACCUAGAACAUUUCCCUUAGCUUCACUACUUCCUGACUUGGGCAUCAGGACAGAAUGGAUGGUGAACUCUCUUCUCAUCUAUGAACUGGUAUACAGUAUCAGGCUCACCCUGCCCACCUCUCACAGUGCUGCAGGGAACAAUUUAACUAUUUUUUGAAAAUCUAUAAGUGCUAGGAAGCAUGUGUGUAAUCCUACCACUCUGGGAGGCUGAUGCAGGAGGGCUGCUAGUUUAAGUCCAGGCUGGGCAACAUAGCAAAACAGUGUCUCCAAAAAAAAAAAAAAAAAGGCCUGGGGAUGUAGUUAAGUGCCAAGAUCCCAGUUCAAUCCCCAGGACUGAAAAAAUAAAUAAAAUAAAAUGUAAGAUAUUAUCUCUUUUCAAGUCAUAAGUAUGAUACCUUUUCAUCAAAUAAAUCACUGGCUUUCUUUUGUAGUGGGGGAAUCCACUUAAUAGAGCACAAAUAAUUAUUAGAAAUACAGUAAAAUGGUAUGUUAUCUGACAGAUCCAUAAACAUGAAUAUAAAAUAUUAACAAAAUCCCUUAUUGUCCAAAGAAAAAUAGCUAUAUAAAAAUUUGUUGAAGAAAAAUAAUGAUAACUUUUGUUUUUAAGUCUCCCACUUUACAUAUUAGCUUCUCUUCAGGUUUAAUUCAAUUUUUUUUAAGAAUACAAGGUUUUCAGGGCCAGGGAUUUAGUUCAGUGGUUUCGCCGCCUGCCGUGCAAGUGCAAGGACCCGAGUUCAAUCCCCAGUACCAAAAAAUAAAUAAAUAAAUAAAAGGUUUACUUACUUGCAUAUUUGA